GACGAACGCUGGCGGCGUGCUUAACACAUGCAAGUCGAACGGAAAGGCCCUGCUUUUGUGGGGUGCUCGAGUGGCGAACGGGUGAGUAACACGUGAGUAACCUGCCCUUGACUUUGGGAUAACUUCAGGAAACUGGGGCUAAUACCGGAUAGGAGCUCCUGCUGCAUGGUGGGGGUUGGAAAGUUUCGGCGGUUGGGGAUGGACUCGCGGCUUAUCAGCUUGUUGGUGGGGUAGUGGCUUACCAAGGCUUGACGGGUAGCCGGCCUGAGAGGGUGACCGGCCACAUUGGGACUGAGAUACGGCCCAGACUCCUACGGGAGGCAGCAGUGGGGAAUAUUGCACAAUGGGCGGAAGCCUGAUGCAGCAACGCCGCGUGCGGGAUGACGGCCUUCGGGUUGUAAACCGCUUUCGCCUGUGACGAAGCGUGAGUGACGGUAAUGGGUAAAGAAGCACCGGCUAACCACGUG
rnacentral:rRNA from 1 species